CAGCAGCCGCGGGAAUACGGAGGGUGCAAGCGUUAAUCGGAAUUACUGGGCGUAAAGCGCACGCAGGCGGUUUGUUAAGUCAGAUGUGAAAUCCCCGGGCUCAACCUGGGAGCUGCAUUUGUGACUGGCAAGCUAGAGUCUGGCAGAGGGGGGUGGAAUUCCGCGUGUAGCAGUGAAAUGCGUAGAUAUGCGGAGGAACACCGAUGGCGAAGGCAGCCCCCUGGGCCAACACUGACGCUCAUGCACGAAAGCGUGGGGAGCAAACAGGAUUAGAUACCCCAGUAGUCCCUGUCUCUUAUAC
rnacentral:rRNA from 1 species